rnacentral:tRNA from 1 species
GCCUCGCUGGCUCAGUCAGUAGAGCAUGUGACUCUUGAUCUUGGGAUUGUGGAUUUGAGUCCCAUGUUGGGUG